ensembl:lncRNA
UAAAGAGAAAAGUCGACUCUCUCUAGCUUUCAAUUAAAUCCUGUCAGUUUUAUUUCGACUGUAAAUUACUUUGAAAGGAUGAACCUGAGUUUCGUGGUUUAGACCUCACUUGACCUCACUCCCAGAGGUCCACAGUGCAAUGUUUUCUUUCCCUACUGGGAUGCUGACGGCGUUUCCCGCCUGAUUAUUUUCCUUUUGCGGCCCUCAGUCAAAUUUUGGGUUCCUAAAUUGGCCCUCAGCUGUCAAAACUUUGAGAACCCCUGAGGUAUCGAAUGCUUCUCCCACACUGAUACCUGUUUUAUAUUUCUUUAAAUACAUGAAUACUUGUUCACAGAAUAGGAACAGACGUUGCAGAAGUCUUAUUUUUUACUCCUGUCAUUGAUGCGUCAAAGGCAAAACAUUUGUCUUCCUGUAAUAGCUGUGUGUGCUUUUAUUUUGGCACACACACACCGUUGAAUAAGCUCUGCAAAUAAAAAGAAAAGGUAUUGCCAAUGUUUCCAUGGCGACCGACCAAUACCACGCGACAAUAUUAUGCAUUCAAAACAAAUCUUUACCUUUCCCUCUUCGGUCGAUCGCAGAACCCAAAGGGGCGGGCGGAAGUGCUGCGGUCAGCAGGCUGGGCCGAGGGUGGCGUCUGGAACGCUGCCGACGUCACUCAGCACAGAGUCACUACAGAGUGACUCAGGGAAUACAGAGUCUGCUCGUUAAGGAGCCGGUAGGGGUUAGACAGUGGAUACAGAGUCUGCUCGUUAAGGAGCCGGUAGGGGUUAGACAGUGGAUACAGAGGCAGGUCAUUAGGGAGCAGGUAGGGGUUAGACAGUGAAUACAGAGACAGGUCAUUAGGGAGCAGGUAGGGGUUAGACAGUGGAUACAGAGGCAGGUCAUGAAGGAGCAGGUAGGGGUUAGACAGUGAUACCAGAGACAGCUCAUUAAGGAGCAGGUAGGGGUUAGAUAGUGGAUACAGAGACAGGUCAUUAAGGAGCAGGUAGGGGUUAGGCUGUGAAUACAGAGACAGGUCAUUAAGGAGCAGGUAGGGGUUAGGUAGUGGAUACAGAGACAGGUCAUUAAGGAGCAGGUAGGGGUUAGGCUGUGAAUACAGAGACAGGUCUUAAAGGAGCAGGUAG